rnacentral:rRNA from 1 species
CCUACGGGUGGCAGCAGUGGGGGAUAUUGCACAAUGGAGGCAACCCUGAUGCAGCGACGCCGCGUGGGUGAAGAAGCUCCUCGGCGCGUAAAGCCCUGUCAUCAGGGAAGAAAAUUACGGUACCUAACUACUCCUCCACGGCUACCUCCGUGCCAGCCGCCGCGGUCAUACAUAGGUGGCAAGCGUUCUCCGGAUUUACUGGGUGUAAAGUGCGCGUAGGCGGGACUGCAGGUCAGAUGUGAAACCCACGGGCUAAACCUGUGGGCUGCAGUUGAAACUGGAGUUCUUGAGUACGGGAGAGGCAGACGGAAUUCCUAGUGUAGCGGUGAAAUGCGUAGAUAUUAGGAGGAACACCAGUGGCGAAGGCGGUUUGCUGGACAGUAACUGACGCUGAGGCGCGAAAGCGUGGGGAGCAAACAGGAUUAGAUACCCGAGUAGUC